UACGGAGGGGACUAGCGUUGUUCGGAAUUACUGGGCGUAAAGCGCACGUAGGCGGAUUUGUAAGUCAGAGGUGAAAGCCCGGGGCUCAACCCCGGAACGGCCUUUGAAACUAGGUAACUAGAAUCUUGGAGAGGUUAGUGGAAUUCCGAGUGUAGAGGUGAAAUUCGUAGAUAUUCGGAAGAACACCAGUGGCGAAGGCGACUAACUGGACAAGUAUUGACGCUGAGGUACGGAAAGCGUGGGGAGCAAACAGG
rnacentral:rRNA from 1 species